rnacentral:misc_RNA from 1 species
GAAAUGCGAUACUUGGUUCAUGGCCGACUUCGCCGUGAUAAAAUGGUGGAUGAGCCACGCUCGAGACCAAUCACGUGCGAGCCGGUCAGUUCUGGACCCAUCGACGACCCUUUGCGUGCACGCACGCUCCCAACGAGACCUCAGGUCAGGCGGGGCUACCCGCUGAGUUUAA